rnacentral:rRNA from 1 species
AAUCAACGCUGGCGGCGUGCCUCAGACAUGCAAGUCGAACGAUUAAAGCUCCCUUCGGGGAGUGCAUAGAGUGGCGCACGGGUGAGUAACACGUAAGUAAUCUACCCUCGGGUGGGGAAUAACGUCCGGAAACGGACGCUAAUACCGCAUAAUGCAGCGGCACCGCAAGGUGACAGUUGUUAAAGGAGCAAUCCGCCUGGGGAGGAGCUUGCGGCAGAUUAGCUUGUUGGAAGGUAACGGCUUACCAAGGCUACGAUCUGUAUCCGGUCUAAGAGGACGGUCGGACACACUGACACUGAAUAACGGGUCAGACUCCUACGGGAGGCAGCAGUCGGGAAUUUUGGGCAAUGGGGGAAACCCUGACCCAGCAACGCCGCGUGAAGGAUGAAGUAUUUCGGUAUGUAAACUUCGAAAGAAUAGGAAGAAUUAAUGACGGUACUAUUUAUAAGGUCCGGCUAACUACGUGCCAGCCGCCG